GAUGAUUGCAGUACUUAAUUGACUGACAGUCUCUUGAAUAGUAAGUUCUUAGUGGGCCAUUUUGGUAAGCAGAACUGGCGAUGUGGGAUGAACCAAACGUAAAGUUAAAGUGCCUAAAAGUACGUUCAUCAGACACCACAAAAGGUGUUGAUUCAUCUUGACAGUUGGACAGUGGCCAUGGAAGUCGGAAUCUGCUAAGGAGUGUGUAACAACUCACCAACCGAAUGAAUUAGCCCUGAAAAUGGAUGGCGCUUAAAACGUACUACUUAUACUUUACCAUUAAGAUAAAUGCUAAAUCUUAAUGAGUAGGAGGGCGUAUGGAUAAUUUAGAAGACUGAUAGUGAUAUUGGUUGGAAUUAUCUUUAGUGCAGAUCUUGGUGGUAGUAGCAAAUAUUCAAUAGAG
rnacentral:rRNA from 1 species